AUUCCAAGAGCACUUUGGGAGCUAGGCCUGGUAGGAUAGGGCCAUAAUCCAAGCUACCCAGGAAGACUGUAAGUGUAGGCCAGGCCGGACAAUUUCCUGAUUCUGUCUCAGAAAGUCAGAAAGGGGCUAGGACAUAGCUCAGGGGUAGGGCUCCCGCCUGACAUUCACAAGACGCAGUGCCUCAAACCAAUAGCAUUUUGGUAGAAAUCACUAGAGAGAUUGGUUUCAGUUUUUCCUUUUUCUUUCUUUCCCUUUUUUUCUUUUCUUUUUGAGACAAGGUAUCUCUGUAUAGCCCUAGCUGUCCUGGAACUUAUGCUGCAGAGCGGGUUGACCUCGAACGCAGAGAUCUGCGCGUCUCUGACUCACGAAUAUUGGGACUAAAGGUGUCACUACCAGCGCCUGGCUUCGCUUUUUCGUAAGGCAUCUUCAAAGGACGUAUGUGACAGCACUGGCUUGACAUGAUGAACACAGGAAACUCUCUGGUGAGCUCAUAGGAAACAGAAGGAAGACAAUGGAGGAGGAGACAAUAGCAGCAGCUUCCUCCUCGUUGUGACCACCAGCAAGCCAGGCCUCCCUUUGGAGCAAUUCCAAACCAGCUGAUGGGAUGGGAUGAAGCCUGGCGUCUGUCUCAAAAUAACUGGGGGUGGAGGAGGGGGCGACAGAGGAGAGCCGGGUCAAGCUUGGUCGUGAAUGGAGUGUUGUUGAAACUGAAUGAGAGCUGUGCUCGCCUCUACCUUGACCGACUGGAAACUUCCCAUAAUACCAAGUUUAAGUACAGUGAUGGCGACACUAACAAUGUCAAAGAAAAAUCA